rnacentral:tRNA from 1 species
AAAAAGGUAAGCUAAUAAAAGCUAAUGGGUUCAUACCCCGUAAAUAGGAAAGACCUCCUUUUUA